rnacentral:rRNA from 1 species
AAAUAGAACUUUGCAGAGAGAGUUAACAGGGCGUGAAACCGUUGAUUGGCAAACGAAUCGGAGCCACGAAGUCGUUUCGCUGUUAGUUGGGCGGAGUUCAGUUCGCGCCGAAAGACGCGGGCGUAUUCUCUCGCUCAUCCAACUUUGUAAGCGUACACUGCAACCUGUUAGACGAUCAGCAGUGGGCUGAGUGACGUAGCGCGAGCAAUCGAGCUGCGGCACGCAUUGUCUGUUCGCUCGCGGUAGUAGUAGCGCAACUGACUUCGGUCUUUCUGUGUUGCUGGCCGCGUGGCGGGUGAACUACAGCUGAAUACUGACAGGCGAAAUGAAAACCGUUGAAAAACGUUAGAGAAAAUGCAGUUGGCCACAUAGAUGUCUACACGUUCGACUGUUAGGUCUAAGCUUGGCAUUUUUGAAUUCAGACCUGCUUGCUACCAGUGGGGCAACUCCUGGUGCUUGUACGGCUUCUGUCUAAUCGGGUGUCGACUUGGCUUGGCAUCGUUCGGGCGUGAAUCGAUCGGAUGUUUAUGUGAACUAAUUCGCAAUUUUAAUUGGCAGUGAGUAGGUCGGCUUUCCGAACGA